rnacentral:rRNA from 1 species
GACGACCUUUGGCGGCGCGCCUAACACAUGCAAGUCGAACGAGCGAGAGAGAGCUUGCUUUCUCGAGCGAGUGGCGAACGGGUGAGUAACGCGUGAGGAACCUGCCUCAAAGAGGGGGACAACAGUUGGAAACGACUGCUAAUACCGCAUAAGCCCACAGCUCGGCAUCGAGCAGAGGGAAAAGGAGCAAUCCGCUUUGAGAUGGCCUCGCGUCCGAUUAGCUAGUUGGUGAGGUAAUGGCCCACCAAGGCGACGAUCGGUAGCCGGACUGAGAGGUUGAACGGCCACAUUGGGACUGAGACACGGCCCAGACUCCUACGGGAGGCAGCAGUGGGGAAUAUUGCACAAUGGGGGAAACCCUGAUGCAGCGACGCCGCGUGGAGGAAGAAGGUCUUCGGAUUGUAAACUCCUGUUGUUGAGGAAGAUAAUGACGGUACUCAACAAGGAAGUGACGGCUAACUACGUGCCAGCAGCCGCGGUAAAACGUAGGUCACAAGCGUUGUCCGGAAUUACUGGGUGUAAAGGGAGCGCAGGCGGGAAGACAAGUUGGAAGUGAAAUCCAUGGGCUCAACCCAUGAACUGCUUUCAAAACUGUUUUUCUUGAGUAGUGCAGAGGUAGGCGGAAUUCCCGGUGUAGCGGUGGAAUGCGUAGAUAUCGGGAGGAACACCAGUGGCGAAGGCGGCCUACUGGGCACCAACUGACGCUGAGGCUCGAAAGUGUGGGUAGCAAACAGGAUUAGAUACCCUGGUAGUCCACACUGUAAAACA